rnacentral:rRNA from 1 species
UUUGAUCAUGGCUCAGAUUGAACGCUGGCGGCAGGCCUAACACAUGCAAGUCGAGCGGCAGCACGGGUACUUGUACCUGGUGGCGAGCGGCGGACGGGUGAGUAAUGCCUAGGAAUCUGCCUGGUAGUGGGGGAUAACGCUCGGAAACGGACGCUAAUACCGCAUACGUCCUACGGGAGAAAGCAGGGGACCUUCGGGCCUUGCGCUAUCAGAUGAGCCUAGGUCGGAUUAGCUAGUUGGUGAGGUAAUGGCUCACCAAGGCGACGAUCCGUAACUGGUCUGAGAGGAUGAUCAGUCACACUGGAACUGAGACACGGUCCAGACUCCUACGGGAGGCAGCAGUGGGGAAUAUUGGACAAUGGGCGAAAGCCUGAUCCAGCCAUGCCGCGUGUGUGAAGAAGGUCUUCGGAUUGUAAAGCACUUUAAGUUGGGAGGAAGGGCAGUUACCUAAUACGUAUCUGUUUUGACGUUACCGACAGAAUAAGCACCGGCUAACUCUGUGCCAGCAGCCGCGGUAAUACAGAGGGUGCAAGCGUUAAUCGGAAUUACUGGGCGUAAAGCGCGCGUAGGUGGUUUGUUAAGUUGGAUGUGUAAUCCCCGGGCUCAACCUGGGAACUGCAUUCAAAACUGACAAGCUAGAGUAUGGUAGAGGGUGGUGGAAUUUCCUGUGUAGCGGUGAAAUGCGUAGAUAUAGGAAGGAACACCAGUGGCGAAAGCGACCACCUGGACUGAUACUGACACUGAGUGCGAAAGCGUGGGGAGCAAACAGGAUUAGAUACCCUGGUAGUCCACGCCG